GACGAACGCUGGCGGCGUGCUUAAUACAUGCAAGUCGAACGGAAAGGCCCGGCUCUUGUGGGGCGCUCGAGUGGCGAACGGGUGAGUAACACGUGAGUAACCUGCCCUUGACUUUGGGAUAAAUUUAGGAAACUGGGGCUAAUACCGGAUAGGAGCUCCUGCUGCAUGGUGGGGGAUGGAAAGUUUCGGCGGUUGUGGAUGGACUCGCGGCUUAUCAGCUUGUUGGUGGGGUAGUGGCUGACCACGGCUUUGACGGGUAGCCGGCCUGAGAGCGUGGCCGGCCACCUUGGUCCUGCGAUACGCCCCAGACUCCUACGGGCCGCAGUAGUCGGGAGUAUGGCGGAGCGACCGGAAGCCAGAUACGGUAACCCCGCGUGCGUGAUGCCGGCCUUCGGGUUGUGAACCGAUUUCGCCUGUGCCGAAGAGUGCGUGACGGUACUGGGUCAGGAAGCCCCGGCUAACUACGUG
rnacentral:rRNA from 1 species